GCCUACGACCAUAUCACCCUGAAUGCGCCCGAUCUCGUCUGAUCUCGGAAGCUAAGCAGGGUCGAGCCUGGUUAGUACUUGGAUGGGAGACUGCCUCGGAAUACCAGGUGUUGUAUGCU
rnacentral:rRNA from 1 species